AACUAUCAAAACACUUUUCUUAAAGUGUUUUGGACUUUGGGAGCAUUGUGCUGGUUUGUUUGAGCCAGCUCUCCUCAAAAGCAUAUUAGCUUUGGAGACCAUCAGUGUGAUAAUUUGUUUACACUGGCUUCUCCUUUUAAAUUGUGCC
rnacentral:misc_RNA from 1 species